CAGUUAUUAACAGGUUGCAACAAUCGCCAUGUAACGCUUAGGCUGCUAUCAGAUGAUGGCUACGUGCACUUUGUGAUCGGUUUUGAGAAAGGAAACCGAACGGACGAUCCAAAAUGGACCGUGACAGACGCCACAAUGGUCAGCGCGUUGUAUGCCUUACCACAGCUUGCAAAGCGCAACAAAGUUAACGCCACAACACCGGUACCAUCGAUAAUCUUCCAAUCAGCGUUCAACGCUACACAACGUUGUGACGGCAGCCAGAUUAUCUUGUCCGAGUCCAACAAGGUCCACGCUUCAUUGAUAUU